CAGCCGCCGCGGUAAUACGUAGGGUGCAAGUGUUAAUCGGAAUUACUGGGCGUAAAGCGUGCGUAGGCGGUUUGUUAAGUCUGUUGUGAAAUCCCCGGGCUCAACCUGGGAAUGGCAGUGGAUACUGGCAAGCUAGAGUGUGUCAGAGGAUGGUGGAAUUCGUGGUGUAGCGGUGAAAUGCUUAGAUAUCACGAAGAACUCCGAUAGCGCAGGCAGCUUGCUGCAUCGCAACUGACGCUGAUGCUCGAAAGCGUGGGUAUCAAACAGGAUUAGAGACCCCCGUAGUCCCUGUCUCUUAUAC
rnacentral:rRNA from 1 species